GCGACUCGGGCUGUGCGCGGUCACCACGGCCACCGCCGGCGACUUCCCACAGGGACGCUGCGUCCCCACCCCCACCUCGCAGAAGGGCGAGCCAAUCAGAAGCGACAAGAGGUGUCACCCUGGGUAGUGCCCCGUGGAUGCGCCGCCCUCAGCCCAGGGCAGCCGCGCCUCUGCGCCUCGCCCGCGCGUCGUGGCUUUCAUAAGGGGGUGGCGGGUGGCGGUGGCGGUGGCGGUGGCGCAGGCUGCUGCCGUGAUGGUCCUCGCUGGGAAAGACGCGCGAUCGCCGUCGGGGAGGGAGCGGGAGCCCGCAGAGCCCCCUGGUUGGCGCUGCCCCGCGGGAUCCCCAUCGGAGCCCCAGGAGCCACUCAGCGAGAGAGACGGCGGGCGGGGCUGCAGGACGUGCCCCCCGGGCGGGAGGAGCCCUGGCGCUGGAGCCCUCCCCCCUCUGCUGCCACCUGGGUCCUGGAAGUGCAGGAGGGAUGCUUGGUGGGGCGCUGGGCGGGCAGGGGGCACCUAGCCCCGCGGAGAGGGGAGACCCCAGACUGGGGACAAACCCGUGAGCCCGACCCCAGAGGGGCGCCGGCCAGUCAGAAGUGGCUCAAGUAGCGGUGGGCCUGCCUCUGCUCCCCGAGCUGCCAGGAGUGCAUUUCCAGGAAGCACAUCCUUUCCCAGGAGGGCCCCAGUGGCCGUGUGGCCUCGCACCAGGGAGUAGAACCCGAGCCAGGGCACAGGCCCGCACUCAUGCUGUGUUCCGGUUCCUGGGCUUCCUGAGCUCCCGCCAGAGCCCGCGUGUCAAGGCCAGACCGGGGAGAGCAGCACAGAAACACUGCCUGCCAGGGAAUACACAGAGCCUCAGAAAGAUUAGCCACAUCAGGUAGGGUGUUAAGUAGCCACGUGGGCAGGGAGAACAGAGUCUGCUUUUCUCCCUCAGAAUUCAGAGAAGUGGAGUAAAGAUUGUUUGCUGAAAGCUGGCCAGUGUAUAACUUUUAAAAUCAGCUGCUGUUGGGCACCUGGGUGGCUCAGUGGUUUAGUGUCUGCCUUUGGCUCAGGUUGUGAUCCCGGGGUCCUGGGAUGGAGUCCCACAUCGGGGUCCCCACAGGGAGCCUGCUUCUCCCUCUGCCUGAGUCUCUGCCUCUCUGUCUCUCAUGAAUAAACAAAAUCUUAAAAAAAAAAAAAAAAAAAGAUCAGCUAUUGUUGACCGAGCAGCAAACCUGUGGGCUCAGGUGGGGCACAAGUGGGGCAGAAUGGAGGCAGUACACACAAAGAAACCAGCCCCUGACACUUCACUCAUGCUUCCGGAUUCAGCUGUGCUUCAGGCUGGACCUGCCCCUCCCUCAAGAAGUCAUGGCAAGCUGCUCUGGUUCUGCAGUUCAGGACCUCCAAAGACCACUCUCACGUUCAGCGCUCAGACAGAAGGAUAACCCCAGCUUGGUGAUGCUGUUGCACUCAUGGUUACACCUAGUGCAGCGAAAUGGCACAGGCUAAAAAAUCAGCAAUGGGCAGCAGUACACAGGGUGGGGUCCAGGAGCAACCAGCCCUAGUCCUCCCCCUCCUGGGGUCACAUGGACAUGGCUGAUCUGACUCCAGCCACCAGAGGUCAGGCUGACGCCAUGUGGCCCAAGGCCCCAGGUAAUAAAGACAGGAGUCAGGCCGGACAUCCCCAGGGCCUAGAGGCCACCUCUUAGCACGGCAAAACCAGCCCUCUCUUUGGGCCAGUCCAUCCUUAUGGGACCUUCCUGAGACCACCACAUGACAAACAGUGUGGGGUACACACUCAGGAACCCUCAACAGUCUGGAGCACACCAUUGAAUCAGUCCAGUCUCUAGAUCAAGCCAUGCCUGAAGCCAGUACCCAGUCUUUUCUUAGUUGCUGAGCAGAAGUGUCCCUUUAUCGUUUAAAUCAGUGUGAGGACACCUACCUUAACAUAUUCCUAGAGGGAUCCCUGGGUGGCGCAGCGGUUUGGCGCCUGCCUUUGGCCCAGGGCGCGAUCCUGGAGACCCGGGAUCGAAUCCCACGUCGGGCUCCCGGUGCAUGGAGCCUGCUUCUCCCUCUGCCUGUGUCUCUGCCUCUCUCUCUCUCUCUCUGUGUGUGACUAUCAUAAAUAAAUAAAAAAAUUAAAAAAAAAAAACAUAUUCCUAGAGCCCAAAGGUCUGCAUUUUCUGAGCGCGUGUGGUCUAAAUAUAUGUAAAUUCUGUUACCCUUCCCACUGAGAGUGGGGUUUAUGUCUGUCCCUUCCCUUGAAACUGGGAUGGCUUUGGGACUAUCUCAACUAGGAGGC
rnacentral:lncRNA from 1 species